AGCUCCAAUAGCGUAUAUUAAAGUUGUUGCGGUUAAAAAGCUCGUAGUUGGAUUUCUGCUGAGGACGACCGGUCCGCCCUCUGGGUGAGUAUCUGGCUCGACCUUGGCAUCUUCUUGAAGAACGUAACUGCACUUGACUGUGUGGUGCGGUAUUCAAGACUUUUACUUUGAGGAAAUUAGAGUGUUUGAAGCAGGCGCAUGCCUUGAAUACAUUAGCAUGGAAUAAUGGAAUAGGACCUCGGUCCCUAUUUCGUUGGUUUUAUGGACCGAGGUAAUGAUUAAGAGGGACAGUUGGGGGCAUCCGUAUUUCGCAGUCAGAGGUGAAAUUCUUGGAUCUGCGAAAGACGAACAAGUGCGAAAGCAUUUGCCAAGAGUGUUUUCAUUAAUCAAGAACGAAAGU
rnacentral:rRNA from 1 species